AGAGCUUAUCGAUCCAAUUUCCGGGGAUCAAGAGCGAGCGAGAGUACGGAGGCGUAGCCACCCGCGUCGCGCUUAUCACUGUUGGAUUAAGGACACCUUAAGUCUUCGACACGCGUCUCCGCGGAGCGUACGACAAAGCCGCUUGUUUCAGUCGCGGAUACAUCCCGCUGUACGUUGUUGAACAUCGAGGGCAAUGUGGGCUCCCCUGCGACCACUCGAAAAGCCGACUGCGAGACUGUCUCCGCGGAUACAUGUCGUCUCACGCAAUCUGACGAAACUUGCGGCCGCAAGCCCGUUCAGCGCGAAGUACAACUUCGGAAGUGAAUGCCGCAUCGAAGGAUUCGGUUCGGGCUAAGCGGGAUCGGCUCGAAGAUCUGUAACUGAACGCGGCCGAUCCCGAGUUCCCAAAACUUUUUGGCAUGUGGGAGAAACAAAAGUUUUAGGUGAUGAGUUUUAUAUGGCGAUAGUUCGCUGUCAAAAAUCAAUGCGAUUUACACUCAGCUCGUAGAAUCUUGCAUGCACUCUGAGAGAAAAAAGAUGAUCGAUCGCAUUGUGAAUUAAACAUCCUUUUUGGCGUCAGGCCAGGUUGAUAUAAAGUCGUUACGAGGAACAUCGUAGCGCUUGCUGACAGAUUUCCCAGAUUUAAUUAUUCCACCGUGCAAUCACAUUCGUGAAUAUCAAACACUUCUCUCAGUGAAAGGGUUUUGCAUGUUUGUGUUUGCGACGUCCAGAGAUACACAGCUCGAAACAAUCAGGCGAUUGUUACUUUGAAUAACUUUAUUGAAUAUCUGAUACUGAUACGUAGUAUUAGUUUCAAAUUGAUCCUAUUAAUUGAUCAGUCAAUGUGAUCCCUCGAUUGUUUCAAUUAAACAUAAUCGACGCUCAGAAUUUGCGCACAAGCAUUGCGCAACCACUCACGAAAUUCGCGACUGCUUUCAUUGCGCGCGAUAAAUGUUGCAAUCGUUGCCGCCAUUAAUCCGUUCGAUUUUUCAUACACGAUCGACUAUAAUAUCACUUUCAUGGAAAUUAUAUGGAACUAUGCUCGUUACGCGUUUUUAUCGUCCUUUCAAACUCUCGCCAAACAAGAAUCUCGUUUAUUGACAAGCCGUAAUCGUUCGCGGAAAUCGUGUCUUUUUUUCUCUUCCUCUGUCAAUAUUAUCAAAAGCGCCUUGAUGUUUCAUCCGCGAUUGUUUUCCACGCGAUUCGCGAUAAUCGCGAGUGUAUUCGUGUAUAUACAAAUUUAAUUUCAUUUAGCUAACAUGUAUCUAGCUAAAUUUGUAUGAACUAUUAAAAAAAUUACCAUAUUAGUCAAACCGUAACAUAAUAU